rnacentral:sRNA from 1 species
CAAAUCUGCCUUCACCUGGCACACUUGCCCCCACCACUCUGGAGGGGGUUGUGAAAUUCCAAGAUGUCUCCUUUGCAUAUCCCAAUCGUCCCGACAGGCCUGUGCUCAAGGUGCCUGAAAGAGGGAGGAAACCUGGACCCUUGCUCUCUACUGCUAAUGCAUAAUUGGACAUCACAGCCUAUAGUUCAUUUGCCUCUGAGAAACUGGUCUUGCCUCUGCUAGGAAGAGAAAUGGAGGGAUUUUGAGGAAGAAGGGGCAGGCCCUUAACUCUUUUCUGGCUUUCUAGGGGCUGACGUUCACCCUACGUCCUGGUGAGGUGACGGCGCUGGUGGGACCCAAUGGGUCUGGGAAGAGCACAGUGGCUGCCCUGCUGCAGAAUCUGUACCAGCCCACAGGGGGACAGGUGCUGCUGGAUGAAAAGCCCAUCUCACAGUAUGAACACUGCUACCUGCACAGCCAGGUGGUUUCAGUUGGGCAGGAGCCUGUGCUGUUCUCCGGUUCUGUGAGGAACAACAUUGCUUAUGGGCUGCAGAGCUGCGAAGAUGAUAAGGUGAUGGCGGCUGCCCAGGCUGCCCAUGCAGAUGACUUCAUCCAGGAAAUGGAGCAUGGAAUAUACACAGACGUAGGGGAGAAGGGGAGCCAGCUGGCUGCAGGACAGAAGCAACGUCUGGCCAUUGCCCGGGCCCUUGUACGAGACCCACGGGUCCUCAUCCUGGAUGAGGCUACUAGUGCCCUAGAUGUACAAUGCGAGCAGGCCCUGCAGGACUGGAAUUCCCAUGGGGAUCGCACAGUGCUGGUGAUUGCUCACAGGCUGCAGACAGUUCAGCGUGCCCACCAGAUCCUGGUGC